UUCGCGGGGCCGAGGGUAAGUUAUCCACCUUCUGACCCUUUGUCCCCCCUUCGCUCCCCCUAAAAUUGUUCUGGGUGCUGAGGAGAAGGCAUCUCCUCUCCAUCUUCACCCUCCACCCCCUCCCUUCCAACCUGGCCAUCCCAGUCCCUGGGAAAAGAUACCACAACAAACCCUGCAGCCUUGUGCCAAGGAAGGGCAGUGGGGGAUGCGCUAUUCCCUGCUCCACCCACCUCCCCUAGUUGCGUUCAGCCUACAUCGCAUCAGGUGUUGCCCCAGCACGGUAACCAUCCAGGUAAGCCAGUCCAGGUAACCAUCAGGGCCAAACAUGUUAUUUGUUGGUGGGGAAAGUCAGAGCAGCAGGUAGAGAAUCCCUCUUCUCCGCGCCCUCGCGUCAUCUGAGAGCACCAGCUUUCGAUCCUGCUAAAGGCAGACAGUCCAGCAUCGGCCUCACAUUUCCUGGGCAUAUGUAGUGGCCUUUUCCCUGGACCUGUACCUACUGUCUGAGUCAGGAGGGCUCAGCUCAGCCGCGGUGAUGAACCCAGACAUUUCUGUGGCCGAGUGCAAGGGUUUCUUGUUUCGCUGAUGAGAAGUCUGUUCUGAGUCAGGUGACUCUGAUUCACGUGGCUUCCGUUUUGUGCCUCCACGAUGGCCCAUCACUGAGUCGAACGGAGAGCACUGGAGUGUCGUGCUGGCUCUUAAAUGGACCAGUGGCCGGAAUUAGUCACAUGUCCUAAGCUAACUUCAAGGGAGUCUGGGACUGCUGUCUUCCUGGGUAUCCGGAAAGAGGAAAAUAAGAUCUGAUGAAAAUAUAGCAUUAUUUCUGUCACUCCAAACACCCCUCCUUCUUUUCUUUUCUUUUUUUUUUAAUUAAAGGCAAAAAUUGGAGAUAAGGGUAUAUUCCCUCUAGGAGAAUAUCCCGUUAGCAUGUAAAAGGCCUCUGAAUGGUAUUACAGUGAAGAGGGAAUCUAUUUAAUUCAGCAUUUCCUGAACUUAUUUGGUCAUUGAGCCCUUUUUUUCUAAGUUUAAUCUCCGUUGGAACUAACAUUCUAAGCUACAAACUUUGGGAAAUUGUCCUCGAUGUGUCAGCUGUGGCCCUUGGUUCUCUCACCUGAUACCAGCCACCUCUCAGUGCACCUCGUCUGGAGCAGGGGACGCCCCUGAAGAAUCCUGGAGCAUGGCUACCCCACCCCACCCCAUCGUGAACAGUUCUUUCUGGGUGCCUCCCCUCCCCACUUCCUGUGAUUCACAUCCACUGUGCAGCCCUUUUCCAGGAACUCAUAAGAGGGAGGGGUGGGCCUCAGGCACAGAUGCUUAUUUGGAAGGGACCCGAGUUCAACCUCUGACCCAAAGAAGAAUUCCCCUCGUCUGUUCAGGGUGAGGCCCUUCCCCUCUGUUGGAUUCCUCCACUCGCUCACUUGCAAUCCUCCUUUGGCCCUGCUGGGCGGCUCAAGCUGUUAGGCAGCCCUCUCUCCGGGAGCCGGGAUCUGCUGUUGGGGACCCUGCUGCCCCUCUUCCAGCUCAGACUCCCUGGAGCAAGACAGCAAAGCCUGCUCAUCACACGACAGACAUCCGAGCGCCCACCAGCUGCCCCCACGUCUCACUCGGCCAAACUCCUGUGUCUUCAAAUGUCUGUGACAGGGACUUCCCUCUCGGUCCAGAGGUUAAGACUUUGCCUUCCAAUGCAGGGGGUGCGGGUUCAAUUCCUGGUAGGGGAACUAAGAUCCCACAUGCCUCGGGGCCAAAAAACGAAAACAUUAAAAAAACAAAACAAAAAAAACCCAGAAGCAAUACUCUUAACAAAUUCAAUAAAGACUCGAAAAAUGGUCCACGUCAAAAAAAAUCUUUAAAAAAAAAAAGUCUGCAACAGUUUCCAGGCCCCUCACCGCCUGCCCUCCACCCCCAGCCCCAUCGUCAAUGGCAAGGUCUGACGCAUUUCCCAUCACCUUUCUUUGGGCUCAGCAUUCCGGUUUCCCGAUAUCUUCUGGACUCCUAAUUGGGUCAUGUAUCGUCUUGGUGAUUAGCUACUCUUUCUAGCUUUGCAUUGCCUGCUAGCAAACUUGCUGAGCGUACUUCUGUGGCUCUGAGGCGGGCUGGGCAGGGGAAGGUGGAUUUGGAGAGGCUCAGGGAGGAGGGGGCAGGGAAGAGUACUUAUUGGGCUCACCUGCCAGCCCUCUCAGAGGCCAAGUUUAUUUACACAGUUGCUCUCUUGCCCACCCUGCCCCUCCUGUUUCAGGAAACUUCCCCCGGGAACCCCUGCUGUCUUCCAACAUGGUUUCCCAGGGGUUGCCAUGGUCUCACCAGCCCUGCUCCUCUGCCCACAGUUCAUUGGCCCAGACACGGGUUCAUGACCUGAUUUAUGGCCUUGGCGAAGGGUCUAGGCAGCCUCUCACCAAAGUGAAGGAUGUUAAAUGUUCUUUGUUUUGAUGAUAUUAAGCCGCAUGAGCUGUUUGUAAAUUUUGGAGACUAAUCCCUUGUCGGUCGCAUCAUUUGCAACUAUUUUCUCCCAUUCUGAGGGUUGUCUUUUCGUUUUGUUUAUGGUUUCCUUUGCUGUGCAAAAGCUUUUCAGUUUCAUUAGGUCCCAUCUGUUUAUUUUUAUCUAGUAUCUCCCAGAGUAAUUGACUGAAAAAGAUCUUGCUGUGAUUUAUGUCAGGGAGUGUUCUGCCCAUGUUUUCCUCUGUGAGUUUUACAGUAUCUGGCCUUACAUUUAGGUCUUCAAUCCAUUUUGAGCUUGUUUUUUGUGUAUGGUGUUAAAGAAUGCUCUAAUUUCAUUUCAAUGUUCUUGAUCUUGGGGAAAUACUGGUCUGCAGGGAGAAGGGAAUGCGGCCCACCAGCCACUGGGGCACAGACGCCCCAGUGCAGUGCCCAGCCCUGUGGGAAGGGCAAGCAGGCUGGGCUGUGACGUUGGCUGUUACGGUCUCGUGAAGCUAAGGCAUGGGUCUAGCACACAGAAGAGAGAUGGGACAAACAUAGAAAGACAGUCAGAUAGGUGCAUUCACUGAUGGAAUACAUUUGGGUACAUCUGCACAUAUAUUUAAUAACCAAAACACUCAGAAAAAAAAUCCUCUUCCCAGCCCUACCCUGACUCAGCAUGAAAGCGACACACCCUACCUCAGUGCCCUGAGACUGUGGCCCCGGCCUGACCACCUGCUGGCCUCCCUCCUGAGGGCCCGCACCUCUCCCUGUCCUCAGCAGCAGCUGAGGGUGCUACCAGCCAGUCCAGGACACCAUCCCAACCCUGGCUUAACAGCUCUGCGGGGAACCCAAGCAACAGGAAGCAGCCAGCAGGUGCCAACAGGGUCUUGAAGCCCCGCGUGCGUCCAAGGACCAUGCUUCGGACAGAGGGUGUGUCCAUGGCUCUCAGGAGACAGUGUUAGAGUGCCGGCAGAGUGCUGCUGGGGGAGAAGCUCUCCGCUACAGAAACGUCCCUCUCCGGCAGUGAGCGCUCCAGCCCGCCCCCCGGGCCUGGAGGCUCUGAAUCCCCCGGGAACAAGAGGCUGCUUCCGCAGUUUUCACAGAGCCACGCCUACACUCACGGGGUUCUCCUUGCAGUCUUCGCUCAGCAUCUCCGGGGCGAUCCAGCCUUCUGUGCCGGGUACCCCUGAGCGGCGGCUGAAGCUGUGUCUGCCCACUGCCAGCUUCUUACAGAGGCCGAAGUCGGAGAUCAUGGCCUUGAUCCUGCCGUGUGCGCUGGGCAUGGAGAGGAGGAUGUUGUGUGGCUUCAGGUCUCUGUGAACUAACACAAAACUCCAGGGACCCCGUGAGGCAGCAAAGAGCUUCGACAGAGGCAAGGCCCACCUGAGCAAGUUGUCCCCCCGCCUGAUAAGGGGAGGCUUCUCACCGAUGUUGAGGGAGUGCAGGUGGGCCAGGCCCGAGGUGGUCUGCUGCAGCAAGGUGAUGGGCUCCAGGCCGAGGUGGGCAAAGUCUUUCUGCUCCACGUACUGCAAGAGACACGAAGGCUGGGUCACGGCACAGGGCCCUCAGGACUUCGCUCCUCAGCAUACCUUCUCUCUCUCUCUUUUUUUUUUUUUGCGGUACGCGGGCCUCUCACUGUUGUGGCCUCUCCCGUUGCAGAGCACAGGCUCCGGACGCGCAGGCCCAGCGGCGAAGGCCCACGGGCCCAGCCGCUGCGCGGCAUGUGGGA